rnacentral:rRNA from 1 species
UAAAGAAUUUCGGUACGGGAUGGGGAUGCGUUCCAUUAGUUAGUUGGCGGGGUAACGGCCCACCAAGACAACGAUGGAUAGGGGUUCUGAGAGGAAGGUCCCCCACAUUGGAACUGAGACACGGUCCAAACUCCUACGGGAGGCAGCAGUGAGGAAUAUUGGUCAAUGGACGAGAGUCUGAACCAGCCAAGUAGCGUGAAGGAUGACUGCCCUAUGGGUUGUAAACUUCUUUUAUAUGGGAAUAAAAUGUUCCACGUGUGGGAUUUUGUAUGUACCAUAUGAAUAAGGAUCGGCUAACUCCGUGCCAGCAGCCGCGGUAAUACGGAGGAUCCGAGCGUUAUCCGGAUUUAUUGGGUUUAAAGGGAGCGUAGGUGGAUUGUUAAGUCAGUUGUGAAAGUUUGCGGCUCAACCGUAAAAUUGCAGUUGAAACUGGCAGUCUUGAGUACAGUAGAGGUGGGCGGAAUUCGUGGUGUAGCGGUGAAAUGCUUAGAUAUCACGAAGAACUCCGAUUGCGAAGGCAGCUCACUGGACUGCAACUGACACUGAGGCUCGAAAGUGUGGGUAUCAAACAGGAUUAGAUACCCUGGUAGUCCACACAGUAAACGAUGAAUACUCGCUGUUUGCGAUAUACUGCAA